rnacentral:lncRNA from 1 species
AAAUGUGACUAUAUUCAAGGUCAAAUUACUUUAUCCGCUAGUGGAUAAAAUGCGUUUUUACCCGCUGGAAUUAAAGGAUAAAACACGUGUUUCCGAGCUAGUGAGGCUACUCUCUGUUUGUUCAAGAUUUUAAAUAUAAGUCGCGAGCGUAGCGACUUCUCAAUAUUUUGUUCGUAACUCAAAAUUAGAGAUCGAUUUACAUAUAAAUCAUAUAGCAAAGUAUUCCAUACAAAAUCAAAAGUUUUUAAACAAUUUCUAAUGUUUAAUAUUUAACUGUGAAAUGCAUUGCAAGAAGUAAGGAGCAGUGACGAAUAAAUAACCAAAAAAAAUGUUGACGUAACUAGUAAUAUGUACAGUCUGACCAAAACAAGUAGAAAUUAAAGUGGCAACAUCAUAGUGUCGUCCCGUUUUCUCACACAUAUUGAUUUGAAAGGGACGACACUACAAUGUUCCCACUUUUUAAUUUCUACUCUUUUUGGUCAGACUGUAUUAUCAGUAUUAAUCUUAUUGUUAAAACUGUAAUUAGAUAUAACUAUAAAAAUAAAUACAGUAACUAGCAGUAAUUACAGUAUUACUAAUUUUGGCUCGAAAAAGCGUUUAUUCAGGCAGGUACAGUUCCAUUAUUUCGUUGUUAGUUCAGUAAUUCCCAAAAAGUGUGUACAGUCAGCUGCAGAGUCUACUACUUUGUAUGGCAGGGGGUCUCCUUUUCUCUGCAGCUGACUAUACAUUUAGAUCACGUCUUCGAUUUUGAUAAAAAUUGGUAGACUGAUAAGAGUCCGUGGUGCUAAGCAAGAUCCACUCGAUUUCCUAACAUUCCCCAGGUAGUUUGUAUGUUUGCUGUUUUGUUACCGAAAAGCCCUUGAUAUAGCCCUUGGGGCAAUAGGGAUAUUGUCAUACUUAAUAAUUAUGUACCUAUUUGAAUGCUCUGAAUACCUAUAAGUGGGGGAUCAAUUAUGAAUGGGUUUUUAUAGUUUGUAAUUUAUAGUAUGUAUAUUGUAUCUUCUGUUAGUGAUCCUAAUAAACAAGACAACUAAACAAAAUGUAUAGGAUUCUGGUAACAAAAAGGAAGGUUUCAUACAAACUACCUAGAAUAUUUUGGAAAACUUAGUGGAUCUUACUCAGCAUCAUGGACUAUCAGCCUACCAAUUUUUAUCAAAAUCUGAGACGUGAUUCAAGUAUACAAAACUACAAACUUUUCGGGAAUUACUCAGUUACUAAAAUAUUUAGUCAAAUUAAAUAAAGUGGCCAUACAGUUUAUUUACAAAAUGUCAAAGAAGCUGUCAAAAUUCAUGCUGCAUUUUACCAAAAUAUUUUUUUACUAGUCUGACGGACUGCAAAUUGAAUGUAUUUUGUACUCCGUACUGCAGUUUACAUAAUAACUGCAGUCAGUAUGCAGUCCGGCCCCGAAAGUGUUAAAAUUCAUAAUAUUACAUUAAAAUUUAUUCUUGUAUAUAGUGCUAGCUGUUUAAGAGUAGAUUAUGCAUAAAAAUAUUGCUGAUUUGAUGCAUAUACGAAUAAUUCCAUAUGAAAUAGAAGAAUAAUAUAAAAUACAAAUAUACAAUCCAAAAUGGUUGAGCGAUUUUUCUAU